AUGGAGGCCCCGUCCCAGCUGCUCUUUGGGCUCCUCAUGCUUUGGGUUUCGGGUUCCAGGGAAGAAAUUGUGCUGGCCUACUCUGCAGCCUCAGUGUCUGUGAGCCCAGGAGAGAGAGUCACCAUCAGCUGCCAGGCCAGUCAGAGUGUCAAACACAGUAAUGGAAAAACUUAUUUUGACUGGAUCCAGCAUAAGCCUGGACAGUCUCCUCGGCCACUUAUUUACCAGGUUUCCAAGCUGGAAUCAGGAAUCCCUGCCAGGUUCAGUGUCAGUGGUUCUGACAGGGAUUUCACCCUCACAAUCAGUGAUGUCAGUGCUGAAGAUGGGGCAGAUUAUUACUGUGGACAACGAUCUUUUCCUCCUCCCACAGUGCUACAGGCCAGAACAAAAACCUACCCAGAGUCCAGUACAGCCAUUGUGAUGACCCAGACUCCAGCCUCCCUGUCUGUGACUCUGGGAGAGACAGUCACCAUCAGCUGCAGGGCCAGUCAGAGCAUUAGCAACUAUUUAGCCUGGUACCAGCUGUCACCAGGAAAACCUCCAAAGAGUCUCAUCUAUGCUGCUACCUACCUACCAUCCGGGAUCCCCGCCCGCUUCAGUGGCAGUGGGUAUGGAACAGAUUUUACUCUCAAAAUCAGCCCUGUAGAGGCUGAAGAUGUGGCAGAUUACUACUGUCUGCAGUAUAAUCAGUACCCUCUCCCACAGUGA